rnacentral:tRNA from 1 species
UAGUAUUGCGCCGGAUUGAACGGAAAUCAUUGAUGUUGAUUAACACGGGGCCCAUAUUGCCUUCAAUACUAA